rnacentral:tRNA from 1 species
GGAGAGGUGGCCGAGCGGUUUAAGGCGCACGCCUGGAAAGCGUGUUUACGUGAAAACGUAUCAAGGGUUCGAAUCCCUUUCUCUCCG